rnacentral:rRNA from 1 species
UAGCAAGUCGAGCGAUUUACUUCGGUAAAGAGACGGCGGACGGGUGAGUAACGACGUGGGUAACCUGCCCUGUACACACGGAUAACAUACCGAAAGGUAUAGCUAAUACGAGAUAAAUACUUUUAUCGUCAUGGUAGAAGUAUCAAAGCUUUUGCGGUACAGGAUGGACCCGCGUCUGAUUAGCUAGUUGGUAAGGUAACGGCUUACCAAGCGGCGAUCAGUAGCCGACCUGAGAGGGUGAUCGGCCACAUUGGAACUGAGACACGGUCCAAACUCCUACCGGGAGGCAGCAGUGGGGAAUAUUGCACAAUGGGCGAAAGCCUGAUGCAGCAACGCCGCGUGAGCGAUGAAGGCCUUCGGGUCGUAAAGCUCUGUCCUCAAGGAAGAUAAUGACGGUACUUGAGGAGGAAGCCCCGGCUAACUACGUG